GGGUUGUGAGGUUAAGCGACUAAGCGUACACGGUGGAUGCCUAGGCAGUCAGAGGCGAUGAAGGGCGUGCUAAUCUGCGAAAAGCGUCGGCAAGGUGAUAUGAACCGUUAUACCCGACGAUACCCGAAUGGGGAAACCCAGUGUGUUUCGACACACUAUCAUGUCAUGAAUCCAUAGUGACAUGAGGCGAACCGGGGGAACUGAAACAUCUCAGUACCCCGAGGAAAAGAAAUCAACCGAGAUUCCCCCAGUAGCGGCGAGCGAACGGGGAAGAGCCCAGAACCAGAAUCAGUUUGUGCAUCAGUGGAAGCGUCUGGAAAGUCGCACGGUACAGGGUGAUAGUCCCGUACACAAAGAUGCGCUUGCUGUGAGUUCGACGAGUAGGGCGGGACACGAGAUAUCCUGUCUGAAGAUGGGGGGACCAUCCUCCAAGGCUAAAUACUCCUGACUGACCGAUAGUGAACCAGUACCGUGAGGGAAAGGCGAAAAGAACCCCGGCGAGGGGAGUGAAACAGAACCUGAAACCGUGUACGUACAAGCAGUGGGAGCCUUGAUUAAUCAGGGUGACUGCGUACCUUUUGUAUAAUGGGUCAGCGACUUAUAUUUUGUAGCAAGGUUAACCGAAUAGGGGAGCCGCAGGGAAACCGAGUCUUAACUGGGCGUCAAGUUGCAAGGUAUAGACCCGAAACCCGGUGAUCUAGCCAUGGGCAGGUUGAAGGUUGGGUAACACUAACUGGAGGACCGAACCGACUAAUGUUGAAAAAUUAGCGGAUGACUUGUGGCUGGGGGUGAAAGGCCAAUCAAACCGGGAGAUAGCUGGUUCUCCCCGAAAGCUAUUUAGGUAGCGCCUCGUGAAGUCAUCUUCGGGGGUAGAGCACUGUUUCGACUAGGGGGCCAUCCCGGCUUACCAACUCGAUGCAAACUACGAAUACCGAAGAAUGUUAUCACGGGAGACACACGGCGGGUGCUAACGUCCGUCGUGAAGAGGGAAACAACCCAGACCGCCAGCUAAGGUCCCAAAGUCAUGGUUAAGUGGGAAACGAUGUGGGAAGGCCCAGACAGCCAGGAUGUUGGCUUAGAAGCAGCCAUCAUUUAAAGAAAGCGUAAUAGCUCACUGGUCGAGUCGGCCUGCGCGGAAGAUGUAACGGGGCUAAACCAUGCACCGAAGCUGCGGCAGCGACGCUUAGGCGUUGUUGGGUAGGGGAGCGUUCUGUAAGCCGUUGAAGGUGGUCUGUGAGGAUUGCUGGAGGUAUCAGAAGUGCGAAUGCUGACAUAAGUAACGAUAAUGCGGGUGAAAAACCCGCACGCCGGAAGACCAAGGGUUCCUGUCCAACGUUAAUCGGGGCAGGGUGAGUCGACCCCUAAGGCGAGGCCGAAAGGCGUAGUCGAUGGGAAACAGGUUAAUAUUCCUGUACUGGGUGUUACUGCGAAGGGGGGACGGAGAAGGCUAUGUUGGCCGGGCGACGGUUGUCCCGGUUUAAGCGUGUAGGUGGGUGCUCCAGGCAAAUCCGGAGCGCUAUUAACGCCGAGGCGUGAUGACGAGGCACUACGGUGUCGAAGUGACAAAUGCCACGCUUCCAGGAAAAGCCCCUAAGCAUCAGGUAACAUCGAAUCGUACCCCAAACCGACACAGGUGGUCAGGUAGAGAAUACUCAGGCGCUUGAGAGAACUCGGGUGAAGGAACUAGGCAAAAUGGUGCCGUAACUUCGGGAGAAGGCACGCUGUGCGAGGUGAAGUCCCUGGCGGAUGGAGCGUUGCGCAGUCGCAGAUACCAGCUGGCUGCAACUGUUUACUAAAAACACAGCACUGUGCAAACACGAAAGUGGACGUAUACGGUGUGACGCCUGCCCGGUGCCGGAAGGUUAAUUGAUGGGGUAAGCCGCAAGGCGAAGCUCUUGAUCGAAGCCCCGGUAAACGGCGGCCGUAACUAUAACGGUCCUAAGGUAGCGAAAUUCCUUGUCGGGUAAGUUCCGACCUGCACGAAUGGCGUAAUGAUGGCCAGGCUGUCUCCACCCGAGACUCAGUGAAAUUGAACUCGCUGUGAAGAUGCAGUGUACCCGCGGCAAGACGGAAAGACCCCGUGAACCUUUACUAUAGCUUGACACUGAACCUUGAGCCUUGAUGUGUAGGAUAGGUGGGAGGCUUUGAAGCGUGGACGCCAGUCUGCGUGGAGCCAACCUUGAAAUACCACCCUUUGAUGUUUGAUGUUCUAACGUGGGCCCGUAAACCGGGUUGCGGACAGUGUCUGGUGGGUAGUUUGACUGGGGCGGUCUCCUCCCAAAGAGUAACGGAGGAGUACGAAGGUUAGCUAAUCCUGGUCGGACAUCAGGAGGUUAGUGCAAAGGCAUAAGCUAGCUUGACUGCGAGAGUGACGGCUCGAGCAGGUGCGAAAGCAGGUCUUAGUGAUCCGGUGGUUCUGAAUGGAAGGGCCAUCGCUCAACGGAUAAAAGGUACUCCGGGGAUAACAGGCUGAUACCGCCCAAGAGUUCAUAUCGACGGCGGUGUUUGGCACCUCGAUGUCGGCUCAUCACAUCCUGGGGCUGAAGUAGGUCCCAAGGGUAUGGCUGUUCGCCAUUUAAAGUGGUACGCGAGCUGGGUUUAGAACGUCGUGAGACAGUUCGGUCCCUAUCUGCCGUGGGCGUUGGAAGAUUGAGGGGGGUUGCUCCUAGUACGAGAGGACCGGAGUGAACGCACCACUGGUGUACGGGUUGUGAUGCCAAUUGCAUUGCCCGGUAGCUACGUGCGGAAGAGAUAACCGCUGAAAGCAUCUAAGCGGGAAACUUGCCCCGAGAUGAGUCUUCCCUGGGCCUUAGAGGCCCCUGAAGGGACGUUUAAGACGAAGACGUUGAUAGGCUGGGUGUGUAAGCGCAGCGAUGCGUUGAGCUGACCAGUACUAAUGACCCGAGAGGCUUAACCUUACAACACCGAAGGUGUUU
rnacentral:rRNA from 1 species